GGACUACCGGGGUAUCUAAUCCUGUUUGAUCCCCAUGCUUUCGUGCCUGAGCGUCAAUACCGGCCCAAUCUGCUGCCUUCGCCACUGGUGUUCUUCCGAAUAUCUACACAUUUCACUGCUACACUCGGAAUUCCACAGAUCUCUACCGGAUUCAAGACUGAUAGUAUCAAAGGCAGUUUCGUCGUUAAGCGACGAGAUUUCACCACUGACUUACCAGUCCGCCUGCGCACCCUUUACACCCAGUAAAUCCGGACAACGCUCGGAUCCUACGUAUUACCGCGGCUGCUGGCAC
rnacentral:rRNA from 1 species